GACGAACGCUGGCGGCGUGCUUAACACAUGCAAGUCGAACGGAAAGGCCCUGCUUUUGUGGGGUGCUCGAGUGGCGAACGGGUGAGUAACACGUGAGUAACCUGACCUUGACUUUGGGAUAACGUCAGGAAACUGGGGCUAAUACCGGAUAGGAGCUCCUGCUGCAUGGUGGGGGUUGGAAAGUUUCGGCGGUUGGGGAUGGACUCGCGGCUUAUCAGCUUGUUGGUGGGGUAGUGGCUUACCAAGGCUUUGACGGGUAGCCGGCCUGAGAAGGUGACCGGCCACAUUGGGACUGAGAUACGGCCCAGACUCCUACGGGAGGCAGCAGUGGGGAAUAUUGCACAAUGGGCGGAAGCCUGAUGCAGCAACGCCGCGUGCGGGAUGACUGCCUUCGGGUUGUAAACCGCUUUCGCCUGUGACGAAGCGUGAGUGACGGUAAUGGGUAAAGAAGCACCGGCUAACUACGUG
rnacentral:rRNA from 1 species